ensembl:snoRNA
UGCAAAGGAAUUUCCCAGGAUUAAAAUAUAAAUUGAGUGCAAUAGAAAUUCAGUAUCUGGCAUUGUUGGUUUUCUUGGCUUUGUGCAUGUUAAACCUGGUAUUUCUGUUGAUACAGUA